rnacentral:rRNA from 1 species
GAUGAACGCUGGCGGCGUGCCUAAUACAUGCAAGUCGAGCGAACAGACGAGGAGCUUGCUCCUCUGACGUUAGCGGCGGACGGGUGAGUAACACGUGGAUAACCUACCUAUAAGACUGGGAUAACUUCGGGAAACCGGAGCUAAUACCGGAUAAUAUAUUGAACCGCAUGGUUCAAUAGUGAAAGACGGUUUUGCUGUCACUUAUAGAUGGAUCCGCGCCGCAUUAGCUAGUUGGUAAGGUAACGGCUUACCAAGGCAACGAUGCGUAGCCGACCUGAGAGGGUGAUCGGCCACACUGGAACUGAGACACGGUCCAGACUACUACGGGAGGCAGCAGUAGGGAAUCUUCCGCAAUGGGCGAAAGCCUGACGGAGCAACGCCGCGUGAGUGAUGAAGGUCUUCGGAUCGUAAAACUCUGUUAUUAGGGAAGAACAAAUGUGUAAGUAACUAUGCACGUCUUGACGGUACCUAAUCAGAAAGCCACGGCUAGCUACGUG